rnacentral:rRNA from 1 species
AUACGUAGGUGGCGAGCGUUGUCCGGAAUUACUGGGCGUAAAGGGUGCGUAGGCGGUUUGUUAAGUCUUAUGUGAAAUGCGCCGGCUUAACCGGUGAACUGCAUAGGAAACUGGCAGGCUAGAGUGUCGGAGAGGGUCGCGGAAUUCCCGGUGCAGCGGUGAAAUGCGUAGAUAUCGGGAGGAACACCAGUGGCGAAGGCGGCGACCUGGACGAACACUGACGCUGAGGCACGAUAGCUGGGCGAGCAAACAGGAUUAGAUACCCUGGUAGUCCCAGCCGUAAACGAUGAGCGCUAGGUGUUGCGGGUAUCGACCCCUGCAGUGCCGCAGUAAACGCAAUAAGCGCUCCGCCUGGGGAGUACGGCCGCAAGGCUGAA